rnacentral:rRNA from 1 species
UACAGAGGUCUCAAGCGUUGUUCGGAAUCACUGGGCGUAAAGCGCACGUAGGCGGAUUGUUAAGUCAGGGGUGAAAUCCUGGAGCUCAACUCCAGAACUGCCUUUGAUACUGGCGAUCUCGAGUCCGGGAGAGGUGAGUGGAACUGCGAGUGUAGAGGUGAAAUUCGUAGAUAUUCGCAAGAACACCAGUGGCGAAGGCGGCUCACUGGCCCGGUACUGACGCUGAGGUGCGAAAGCGUGGGGAGCAAACAGG